AAUGCAGAGGAAAGCUCGCUAUCGUCCGUGAGAUAUGUUUGAUAUAUUUGGUGGUUCGUCGUUGGCUAAGUCCACCGAUUGUCAGACAUAUCUAGCGGAGAGGCGCUGCAGCGCAACUGGGAAGG
rnacentral:precursor_RNA from 10 species